CCCGGUCCCACCUCCCCGCCCCAGCAGCCUGCCCGCCCGCCCGCUGGCCGGGCUGUCACCGUCUCAUCUGCAUAGGCGCCCGCCCAUUGGGCCGCCCACCCGCGCCUUAUCUGCAUGGCCACGCCCCCGGCGACCGAGCAACAGCCGCCUAUUGGCGAAUAAGCUUCCUGACGAAGACUCUCGGGCGUGCAACCGCACCGCCCAACACGACGCAUGCUCGCAACUGCCUACUCACUCCGCUCGCCACGCCCCCUCCGUGCAACUGCCUCGGGGCCCUGGCCACGCCCCCCCACGCGUCACAAUGAAACAAGCCCGCCCUUGCUUCAAUGCCAUUGGUCUGUGCCUGGCCGGUCCUGCAGCAGGUUCCACCCUCUUGCGGGCGAGCGCUGGCUACCAUUGGACUGUCCGGCGCGAGGGGAAGGGUGAUCUAUAAAUAGGGAAUGGGUACACGUGACAGUUUGGCAGCUGCUCCUACCCCUCCACCCCGCCCAACCUUCAGCUUCUGAGGCUGCGCAGGGGGAGAAAAGGGUUAGGGGGUCGAGCCCUGACUUCGCCUCCUCUUCCAAGAAGCCUUCCCAGACACUCAGCUGUAAAACCAGACGGACGUCCUCCGAUGAAAUUGUUUCUACUUAGGGCCGGCUUCACCGGCUUGGAAUCCACUUAGAAGGGUCUUCGCGCUUGGUUGAAUGUUCUGCAAUUUCUGUCUUGAAAUUUUUAGUUUUUGAGCAAGGGGCCCCUUAUUUUCACUUUGCACUAGGCCAAAUAUGUAGCCGGUCUUGCUGCUAAGAGUCUAAGAUCGAUUGCAUUCCAAAUUCUGGAAUUAUAAGACCCUGGGUGGAAGAUUCUAUGCUUUGACCAGAAGAGAGUCUAAGCAGCUUUUGUCUCCCAGGUGCUAGGAGGAUGUGUGCUCAUCAUUCUUCCAUUCCAGGGGCCUUUGUUCUACGUUCUAAGGGGCUUUGUUCUCAGCCUUCUAUGAUGCUCUAUUCUCAACGUUCUCUGGUCCUAGGAGUCUGAGCCUGACAUUCGUUUCCAAGGCUUCCUGCUGUCUCUCCAGGCUCCGCAAGCAGGGCUGGGGCACCCUCAGGCGGCCAAUCUGUAUCACUACGCCGAGCCUGCCUCUACCAACUUCCAAGACCUAGCUCUAAUAUUCAUACUCAUCUCUCAGACAGACCUUGGCUCCCUAAAAGCCAAGGCCCAGAAGAUCAUACAAGAAAUUCCCUCUUUUAUGAUUCCCCGUGCACGAAGUGACCUUCUGGUGGUGAGAUGGAGAGAAAUUGAUAGUGGCGAUAGACAGCAAAGUCUCCAGGAGCCAGACUUCCUCGGGAAACUUGGGGCACGUGUGGAGUGUGAGUGAGUGAGCUGCUGGAAUGAACUGACCAGACAGGACAUCAUCUAUGUAUGGGAUUAGAAUGGAAUUACAGGAGAAAACCAAAUCCCUCAAAUUAGCAUUCAGGAUCGGAAAAAAAAGGCCCAUGCUCUUAGACCACCACCAAGACCUUGUCUUGUCCUGCACCGAGCAACCUCCGUGUCACCCUGCUCCACCUGCUCCAUGAAGCCGCACCCUCCAGAGAGGACCCUUCCCCUUUCCACCCUUCGCGGACCACUCAAUGAGCUACCCUGCACCUGACCCCUUCUGUCCAAGUCAUCACAGUAUUCCCAGAGCUGGAACAGUCAAUGCCUGGCACAUCGUGGGCACUCAACAUGUUGAAUCAAUGGUUACAAAUACAUGAAUGUACUUGUUGAAUAAAUGGUUAUAAAUAAAUGAAUGAAUGAUCCCCCCCCUUCCCAUACUCCAUCUGUCUUCCUGAGCUCCCUGGCUCCAACACAGGUCCCUUGUUCUCCUGGCUUCUGACACACCCCAGUAUCUUAGCCCUGCCUCUGGCCCUCUAAACAUGCCAUCCCAC
rnacentral:lncRNA from 10 species